rnacentral:lncRNA from 1 species
AGGUACUGGGAUGUUACUGGGGUGAUACUGGUGGUUACUGGGAGUUACUGGGAGCUACUGGGAUGUAUCAAAGGAGCACUUGGGGGGCGGGGGGAGCUCCUGAGAGGCACCGGGAGCUCCUGGGGGGGCACUGGGGUGAUACUGGGAGUUACUGGGGUCAUACUGGGAGUUACUGGGAUGUUACUGGGCGGGUUACUGGUGGUUACUGGUGGUUACUGGUCGUUACUGGGCACCCACCAUGGCUCGGGUGAGGCACUGCCUCCAGCGGCAUUUCUGCCUGCGGCGGUUGCGGCCCCCGAAGCGGGGUUUGUCCCGGCAGAAGUCGCAGCGCCCGCAGUCGGCGGCUCGCAGGCAGGGGGGGCACGACCCGCAGCGACGGCCACGCUGGGGGUAUAGGGUCAUGGGGUCACUUAUAGGGUCACUUAUAGGGUCAGUUAUAGGGGCAGGGGGUUAUGGGGUCACUUAUAGGGUCACGGGGUCAGUUAUAGGGGUCACUUAUAGGGUCAGGGGGUCACUUAUAGGGUCACGGGGUCAGUUAUAGGGUAAUGGGGUCACUUAUAGGGUCAUGGGGUCAGAUAUAGGGUCAGGGGUCACUUAUAGGGUCAGGGGGUUAUGGGGUCAGUUAUAGGGUUAUGGGGGGCACGACCCGCAGCGGCGCCCACGCUGGGGGUUAUAGGGGCAGGGGUCAGUUAUAGGGUCAGUUAUAGGGUCAC